GAUGAACGCUGGCGGCGUGCCUAAUACAUGCAAGUCGAGCGAACAGACGAGGAGCUUGCUCCUCUGACGUUAGCGGCGGACGGGUGAGUAACACGUGGAUAACCUACCUAUAAGACUGGGAUAACUUCGGGAAACCGGAGCUAAUACCGGAUAAUAUAUUGAACCGCAUGGUUCAAUAGUGAAAGACGGUUUUGCUGUCACUUAUAGAUGGAUCCGCGCCGCAUUAGCUAGUUGGUAAGGUAACGGCUUACCAAGGCAACGAUGCGUAGCCGACCUGAGAGAGUGAUCGGCCACACUGGAACUGAGACAGGGUCCAGACGACUACGGGACGCAGCAGUAGGGAAUCUUACGCAAUGGGCGAGAGCCUGACGGAGCAGCGCCGCGUGAGUGAUGAAGGUCUUCGGAUCGUAAAGCUCUGUUAUUAGGGAAGAACAAAUGUGUAAGUAACUAUGCACGUCUUGACGGUACCUAAUCAGAAAGCCACGGCUAACUACGUG
rnacentral:rRNA from 1 species